rnacentral:misc_RNA from 1 species
AAAGCUUCUGUGCAAAUGUCUCAUUUGUUGAUCUAGGAAACAUACUGCAAGAAUAAACAAAGUAAGCAUAACACAGAGAAAGGAUAGUAUUUUCUAAACACAGAAAAAUAGUUUUCAUAGAACAUUAUAUAAUCUACUCUCUUUUUUUUUUGGGCACAUACCAAGCUUCAUCAAGAAGAGCAAGGAUGCCACCAGGUUUCUUUUCAAUGAGA